rnacentral:rRNA from 1 species
CCUACGUGGGGCAGCAGUGGGGGAUAUUGCACAAUGGGGGGAACCCUGAUGCAGCGACGCCGCGUGGGUGAAGAAGCGCCUCGGCGCGUAAAGCCCUGUCAGCAGGGAAGAAAAGGACGGUACCUGAAGAAGAAGCCCCGGCUAACUACGUGCCAGCAGCCGCGGUAAUACGUAGGGGGCAAGCGUUAUCCGGAUUUACUGGGUGUAAAGGGGGCGCAGACGGGGAUGCAAGCCAGGAGUGAAAGCCCGGGGCGCAACCCCGGGACUGCUCGUGGAACUGCGUGGCUGGAGUGCAGGAGGGGCAGGCGGAAUGCGUGGUGUAGCGGUGAAAUGCGUAGAUAUCAGGAGGAACCCCGGUGGCGAAGGCGGCCUGCCGGACUGCAACUGACGUUGAGGCCCGAAAGCGUGGGGAGCGAACAGAAUUAGAUACCCGAGUAGUC